rnacentral:rRNA from 1 species
CUUGAGAGCGGCGGACGGGUGAGUAAUGCCUAGGAAUCUGCCUGGUAGUGGGGGAUAACGUUCGGAAACGGACGCUAAUACCGCAUACGUCCUACGGGAGAAAGCAGGGGACCUUCGGGCCUUGCGCUAUCAGAUGAGCCUAGGUCGGAUUAGCUAGUUGGUGAGGUAAUGGCUCACCAAGGCGACGAUCCGUAACUGGUCUGAGAGGAUGAUCAGUCACACUGGAACUGAGACACGGUCCAGACUCCUACGGGAGGCAGCAGUGGGGAAUAUUGGACAAUGGGCGAAAGCCUGAUCCAGCCAUGCCGCGUGUGUGAAGAAGGUCUUCGGAUUGUAAAGCACUUUAAGUUGGGAGGAAGGGCAUUAACCUAAUACGUUAGUGUUUUGACGUUACCGACAGAAUAAGCACCGGCUAACUCUGUGCCAGCAGCCGCGGUAAUACAGAGGGUGCAAGCGUUAAUCGGAAUUACUGGGCGUAAAGCGCGCGUAGGUGGUUUGUUAAGUUGGAUGUGAAAUCCCCGGGCUCAACCUGGGAACUGCAUUCAAAACUGACUGACUAGAGUAUGGUAGAGGGUGGUGGAAUUUCCUGUGUAGCGGUGAAAUGCGUAGAUAUAGGAAGGAACACCAGUGGCGAAGGCGACCACCUGGACUAAUACUGACACUGAGGUGCGAAAGCGUGGGGAGCAAACAGGAUUAGAUACCCUGGUAGUCCACGCCGUAAACGAUGUCAACUAGCCGUUGGAAGCCUUGAGCUUUUAGUGGCGCAGCUAACGCAUUAAGUUGACCGCCUGGGGAGUACGGCCGCAAGGUUAAAACUCAAAUGAAUUGACGGGGGCCCGCACAAGCGGUGGA